ACUCCUACGGGAGGCAGCAGUGAGGAAUUUUGGACAAUGGGCGCAAGCCUGAUCCAGCAAUGCCGCGUGCAGGAUGAAGGCCUUCGGGUUGUAAACUGCUUUUGUACGGAACGAAACGGCGAGCUCUAAUACAGUUUGCUAAUGACGGUACCGUAAGAAUAAGCACCGGCUAACUACGUGCCAGCAGCCGCGGUAAU
rnacentral:rRNA from 1 species